GCCGAGAUAGCUCAGUCGGUAGAGCAAAGGACUGAAAAUCCUUGUGUCGGCGGUUCGAUUCCACCUCUCGGCA
rnacentral:tRNA from 1 species